rnacentral:lncRNA from 1 species
ACGUAUAGUAGUACCGCGGCCUUUUUAAUUUGUUAACCUUGUAGUUGAGAUUUUUUUAGAACGAAAUCAACUAGUAUUUAAACGAAUGGGAUUUGUAAUUAUACAAUUACUAUAUAUAUACACAAUCCUUAUACACAAUUCAUAUACACAAUUCAACUAGCUUAAUUAGUACAAAUCGAUCAUAUAUACAAAUAAAUCAAAG